rnacentral:rRNA from 1 species
GACGAACGCUGGCGGUGUGCUUAACACAUGCAAGUCGAACGGUAAGGCCCUUUCGGGGGUCCACGAGUGGCGAACGGGUGGGUAACACGUGAGUAACCUGCCCUCAUCUCUGGGAUAUUAGUCGGAAACGGUUGCUAAUACUGGAUAUGAGCUUGCUAGGGAUCUUGUGGGUUGGAAAGAUUUUUUUGGUUGGGGAUGGACUCACGGCCUAUCAGCUUGUUGGUGGGGUAGUGGCUUACCAAGGCUUCGACGGGUAGUCGGCCUGAGAGGGCGACCGGCCACAAUGGAACUGGGAAACGGCCCAAACUCCUACGGGAGGCAGCAGGGGGGAAUAGUGCACAAUGGACGGAAGUCGGAUGCAGCAACGACGCGUGCGGGAUGACUGCCGUCGGGUUGUAAACCGCAUUCAAUUGUUACGAAGCAUUUUUGUGACGGUAGCAGGAGAAGAAGCACCGGCUAACUACGUG